UGGUGUUCGGGUUGUCAUGCCAAUGGCACUGCCCGGUAGCUAAAUGCGGAAGAGAUAAGUGCUGAAAGCAUCUAAGCACGAAACUUGCCCCGAGAUGAGUUCUCCCUGAGACUUUAGAGUCUCCUGAAGGAACGUUGAAGACGACGACGUUGAUAGGCCGGGUGUGUAAGCGCAGCGAUGCGUUGAGCUAACCGGUACUAAUGAACCGUGAGGCUUAACCUUACAACGCCGAAG
rnacentral:rRNA from 1 species